UCAAGCUACUAAGGGCUAUUGGUGGAUGCCUUGGCGCUGGAAGCCGAUGAAGGACGUGGAAGACUGCGAAAAGCUACGGGAAGCUGUCAAACAAGCUUUGAUCCGUAGAUGUCCGAAUGGGGAAACCCAAUUUAUUUUAAUAAAUUACUCCUACCUGAAUAUAUAGGGUAGGUAGAGGGAACUAGGGGAAGUGAAACAUCUCAGUACCUAGAGGAAAGGAAAGCAAAAGCGACUCCCUGAGUAGCGGCGAGCGAAACGGGAAGAGCCUAAACCAAAUUAAUGUCAAGACUGAUGUCGUUGUUUUUUUGGUGUUGUGGGGUCCUUUAGAAAGAGCAUCAGAUCUUUCAAUAAGUUACAAAUAUUUAGAUUAGAAAAAUUAUCUGGAAAGUUAAACCAUAGAGUGUAACAGUCACGUAUUCGAAAAUCUAUUUACUUAUUAAGGCCACCCCGAGUAUCAAGGAGGAUAUUCCUUGUGAAUCUGCGAGGACCACCUCGUAAGGCUAAGUACGACCAGCGACCGAUAGUGAACAAGUACCGUGAGGGAAAGGUGAAAAGUACCCCGGCGAGGGGAGUGAAAUAGUACCUGAAACCAAUAGCUUACAAGCAGUAGGAGGGAUUUUAUAUCCUGACUGCCUGCCUUUUGAAGAAUGAGCCUACGAGUUAUCCGUAUGUGGCAAGGUUAAGGAGUAAAUCCGUAGCCGCAGCGAAAGCGAGUUUUAAUAGAGCGUCUAGUCGCAUGCGAUAGACCCGAAGCCAAGUGAUCUAUCCAUGGGCAGGGUGAAGCGGAAGUAAGAUUUCGUGAAGGCCCGAACCCACUGAUGUUGCAAAAUCAGGGGAUGACCUGUGGAUAGGGGUGAAAGGCCAAUCAAACUUGGUGAUAGCUGGUUCUCUCCGAAAUGUCUUUAGGGACAGCGUUAUAUGUUGCGCUUUGGAGGUAGAGCACUGAUUGGGCUAGGGGGCCAACAAGCUUACUGAACUCAGUCAAACUCCGAAUGCCAAAGUGUAUAAAUAUAGCAGUGAGCCUAUGGGGGAUAAGCUCCAUAGACGAGAGGGAAACAACCCAGAUCAUCAGCUAAGGCCCCUAAAUGUAUGUUAAGUGUGAAACGAUGUGAGAGUGUUCAGACAGCCAGGAGGUUGGCUUAGAAGCAGCCAUUCCUUUAAAGAGUGCGUAACAGCUCACUGGUCGAAUGUUCUCGCGCGGAAAAUGUAACGGGGCUAAACAUACUGCCGAAGCUAUGGGAUUUUACUAAUCUUGAUAUUUAUAUCCAGGAGGUAAAAUCGGUAGGAGAGCGUUGUAUGGACAGUGAAGCAACAACGUAAGUUAGUUGUGGAGACCAUACAAGUGAGAAUGUAGGCAUGAGUAGCGAAGGAAGAGUGAGAAUCUCUUCCGCCGAAUGUCCAAGGGUUCCUGGGGAAGGUUCGUCCGCCCAGGGUUAGUCGGGACCUAAGGCGAGGUCGAGAGACGUAGUCGAUGGAUAACAGAUUGAUAUUUCUGUACCACUAAUAACACGCCCAAAUCGAAUAUAUGUUGCUAAGGAAAGCCCUUCGGGGCCUACCGACCCACAUAUUACUAGAUUAGCGAUGGAGCAACGGAGAAGGAUAGAUGAACCCAGGCGAUGGUUGUCCUGGGGUAAGUGAGUAGGGUUGUUAAUAGGCAAAUCCGUUAACAAUAUACCUGAGACACGAUGCCGAGCCGCUUUUAGGCGAAGUCAUUAAUUCCAUACUUCCAAGAAAAACUUCUAGUUAGUUUUAUUAGUGCCCGUACCCCAAACCGACACAGGUGGACAAGUAGAGAAUACUAAGGCGAGCGAGAGAACUCUGGUUAAGGAACUCGGCAAAAUAGUUCCGUAACUUCGGGAGAAGGAACGCCCAAGUAAAGUGAUUAAUUAACUUUAUAAGCUUGAAAGGGCCGCAGUGAUCAGACUCAAGCGACUGUUUAUCAAAAACACAGGAGGAUGCAAAGUUCUAAUACAACGUAUAUCCUCUGACACCUGCCCGGUGCUGGAAGGUUAAGUGGAGAGGUUAGCUUCGGCGAAGCUUUGAAAUUAAGCCCCAGUAAACGGCGGCCGUAACUAUAACGGUCCUAAGGUAGCGAAAUUCCUUGUCGGGUAAGUUCCGACCUGCACGAAUGGUGUAACGAUUUGAGUACUGUCUCAACCAGAGACUCGGCGAAAUUGCAAUGUGAGUAAAGAUGCUCACUAUGCGCGACAGGACGGAAAGACCCCGGAACCUUUACUGCAACUUGAUAUUGAAUGUUGGUAUGCAGUAUGCAGGAUAAGUGGGAGACUUGAAAC
rnacentral:rRNA from 1 species